rnacentral:rRNA from 1 species
CUGUCCAGAUGCCUAAAAAGCAUCUGUUAGCAAGGGCCGGGCAAGACCGGUGCCAGCCGCCGCGGUAACACCGGCGGCCCGAGUGGUAACCGCUUUUAUUGGGUCUAAAGGGUCUGUAGCCGGCCAAGUAAGUCCCUUGGGAAAUCUGGCAGCUUAACUGUCAGGCUGCUAGGGGAUACUGCUAGGCUUGGGACCGGGAGAGGUGAGAGGUACCUUGGGGGUAGGGGUGAAAUCUUGUGAUCCUCGGGGGACCACCAGUGGCGAAGGCGUCUCACCAGAACGGGUCCGACGGUAAGGGACGAAAGCUAGGGGCACGAACCGGAUUAGAUACCCGGGUAGUCCUAGCCGUAAACGAUGCUCGCUAGGUGUCAGUCACGGUGCGACCGUGAUUGGUGCCGUAGGGAAGCCGUGAAGCGAGC